AUCACCUGGGAUGUUGUUAAAAUGCAGAUUCUAAUUCAGUAAUACUGAGUUAGAACCUGAGAUUCUGUAUUUCUAACCAUCUCCCAAGUGAUGCUGG
rnacentral:pre_miRNA from 1 species